rnacentral:misc_RNA from 1 species
GGAAGGAUCAUUCACACUUACUUUUGGCCGAUCAACCAUGAACCUGUCGCCUUUCGGCCUCUCUUUUCACAGCGUAUCGAUUGAUGCGUGGCGGUUUUCGUGACGCGCCAGGUGAUAGAGGCGGAUUGGUUACUACUGUGGCAGAGUGAAGAUUUGAAGGAACAAUUUUUCUUAUUAAUUUCAGCGAUGGACGUCUUGGUUCCCUAAUCGAUGAAGGACGCAGUGAAUUGCGAUAAGCAGUGCGAAUUGCAGAAAUCUGUGAAUCAUCAGACCUCUGAACGCAUAUGGCGCUGCUGCAACUCGUUUGUGCAGCGUGUUUGGCUCAGUGUCUUUCAGCAUCAAUUAUAAGGCAAGUGGUGGCGUCGUGCGCAUUGGCUUGGCUAACGCGCUGCGUCGUCGGGAAACAGUGGUUAUGCUACAGUGGUGCUUGCAAUCAGCUGGAGGUUUUCCUGUCUAUUGUGGGUGCUGUCGUGGUUUUGUUUCUUGAUACUGACCUGAGCUCAAGCAAGAUGACCCGCUAAAUUUAAGCAUAUCAUUAAGCGGAGGAAAAGAAACUAAGCAGGAUUCUCUUAGUAGUUGCGAAUGAACAGAGAAUAGCUCAAAAUGAAAAUCACGCGCUUCUAGUGCGUGAAUUGUAGUCUGAAGGAGUGUUGCCUGUGGACGUCGCAGGGAAAAGUCUCUUGGAAGAGAACGCCAGAGAGGGUGAGAGUCCCGUCGCUGCCCUGCUAUACGUUCACAUACGGAGCACGUUCUUAGAGUCGCGUUUCUUGGGAGUGAAACGCAAAUUGGGUGGUAAACUUUAUCUAAGGCUAAAUAUUCUGUGGGAAACCGAUAGCAAAUAAGUACCUUGAGGGAAAGAUGAAAAGGACUUUGAAAAGAGAGUUAAACGUCCCCUGUGGUUUUGGUGCCAUUAACUGAGUGUUAUAACGGGCGUGUCUUUCGAGGCCGUUGCGGUUUUAACCCCCUAUUAGGUGGCAGAGAUCAAGGGAAUCACAUGCUGGCACAGCUUCGGCGUCCAGCAGGGUGGCAGCUGAUAUACAGUUUUUACCGACCCGUCUUGAAACACGGAUCAAGGAGUCCAACAGAUAUGCGGGUCCGGGGGCGGCAAACCCACGGGCAGAAUGAAAGUAACAGUUCCUAGCCGGAACAACCGACCACAAUCUCUGAGAGAGGUUUGAGUAGGAGCAUAUCUGUUGGGACCCGAAAGAUGGUGAACUAUUCCUGAAUAGGGUGAAGCCAGGGGAAACCCUGGUGGAGGCUCGUAGCGAUACUGACGUGCAAAUCGUUCGUCAAAUUUGGGUAUAGGGGCGAAAGACUAAUCGAACCAUCUAGUAGCUGGUUCCCUC